CUGCGUGAGGGAUUGUAGAGGAAAUCCCGCAGCCUGACGAAGGAAGUGCGAGGAAUUGAAACGGAAAGCCCGACCUGCC
rnacentral:misc_RNA from 1 species